rnacentral:tRNA from 1 species
GGAUCCGUAGCGCAGCAUGGAUACAGCUUUGGCCACAAAGCGCGUCGGCCUUCUAAGCCGAAAGUCCUGGGUUCAAAUCCCAGCGGAUCCGCCA